rnacentral:lncRNA from 1 species
UAUACUAUAUUAUUUUCUUUACUAUAUGUAUUUUACUAUUGUAUAACAUACUAAAUUAUAAAAUAUACUAUUUUAUAUGCAAUACACACAAUUUAUUAGGCCUUGGAUUUGGAAUGAAGUCUUCCAGCAAACAUCCUAGCACCCAUAAUCUUCUCUCUCUGUUGCAAAACAUUGCCACAAUUGUCCUAGGAAUGCCAUACUCUUGUUACAUAUUAAUUGUUCUACCUUUUUGCACCUUAUCUAUAAUUUUUCUUCUUCUCUGUAUUCAAUCAAGUAUUAUUCUUUUGAAAUUAUUCUUCUGGUCAAUUCUCUUUGAACUCAUCCUUACAUUUCACUCAAAAGAAUAAUAACAACUAUCAAUGCAUAAAUUUUUUACUUUAU